AUGGAUUCGCCUCUCAGAUUAAAAAAAAAAACAAACUCGGACAGCAGCGCAAGGCUUCUCCAGCAUCUUCGACUGAUUACUUCUUCCGCUUUGGCAACAGAACAGAUUUUUAUUGAGGCGGACUCGCCGGUGUUCACCAACUUUCGGUUCUCUGAUGAAUUUGACUUCCCGGCUUGUGAUUCCGCAGACGCUGCUCUGGAACCGGGCGGAUAUGGUGCCCGGGCUGCAGGCGCGGCUGGCGCUGAGGCAGAACGUCGUUUUUGCAGAAGGCACUGGAACUGCAGGGACACACAGGCCAGCUCACGGCCAGCUGUGAGACAGUCAUCCUGCGAAUCGCCAGCCAGCAAACCCACCGUCUCUCCCCAUCAGUGCUGUGGCCCAGAGGACUGCACACAUGCUGAGCCUGCAACGCAGAAGGUCUUGGGACAGAAGCGCAGGUACACCUGUUCAGCCAGCCUCCAGAAGGAAUGAGAUCCGGGCAUUGUUCUGGUCGUGGGCAGUGUUGGAAGCCUGCAGAGUGCUCUUCAGGUCAAGCUCCCAUUGUCUUCCACUGAGCAGGUGAGUCUAUUCAUUUCCCCAGGUGGCCCUCAUACCAGUCAAUCAUUCUUCAAGGACUACUACACCUAACAGAUCCACAGAAAUGGAGGCAGUCGAAUUUGCUUUACAGCAGAAAACAAAGCUCUGUCCUGGCUGCUCCUGACAAAAUUGCGCACGCUGUUCUGCUUUUAAUCUUUCCCCAGCCUAGAGCAGACACUUCAAGUUACCAUAAUGGGUAAUAAUAGGCAAACACUUUCACUCCUUAAUUGUCAACGAUUAUAACUACACAGUGACAAAAACAUAUGAAAAAAGUAUCCUUUUGUUGAAAACGUGCAUCACAUUGUUUAUGAGUGAUAUGCUUUUGUUACCAAGUAACAAGCAUAUAAUGAACAAAGAAAUGACUGACAGACCUUACUGCAUGUUUGCUUGGAAGGGGCACUCUUUAAUUUUGAAAGGGACAGCAAAAAGCGAACUUGUUUGAAAAAUUAACAAGAUGCAGGUGUUCGGAAGGGCAAACAUAUUGGCUAAGACAUUUUAGAAGCAGUAGUUGCUGGU
rnacentral:lncRNA from 1 species